UCAAGCUUCUUACAUCGCGGUUCAUCCUGGUUUGAUAACAAUGACGAAGAAGUUGUCAUAUUUCCAAACAGGAAAACUGGUUCACCUGAUUUUAAAGUGGGAUAGCUUCUUCAUCCUAACUCCUAUGAUAUUUAUUCAACUUCCUGGUGAUUCUCCACUACUUUAUGUAACCAUGUCAAGCUUCUUGCAUCCCGGUUCAUGCUGGUUUGAUUAGAAUGACGAAGAAGUUGUCAUAUUCCCAAACAGGAAAACUGGGAUCACCUGAUUUGAAAGUGGGAUAGUUUCUUCAUCCUAACUCCUUUGAGAUUUAUUCAAACUUCAUGGUGAUUCUCCACUACUUUAUGUAUCCAAAUCAAGCUUCUUACAUCGCGGUUCAUUCUGGUUUGUUAAGAAUGACAAAGUAGUUGUCAUAUUCUCAAACAGGAAAACUGGGAUCACCUGAUUUCAAAGUGGGAUAACUUCUUCAUCCUAACUCCUAUGAGAUUUAUUCAACUUCCUGGUGAUUCUACACUACUUUAUGUAUCGAAAUCAAGCUUCUUACAUCGUGGUUCAUCAUGUUUUGAUAAGAAUGACGAAGAAGUUGUCAUAUUCCCAAACAGGAAAACUGGGAUCACCUGAUUUUAAAGUGGGAUAGCUUCUUCAUCCUAACUCCUAUGAGAUUUAUUCAAACUUCCUGGUGAUUCUCCACUACUUUAUAUAUCCAUAUCAAGCUUCUUACUGUUGAGAAGAAGGCAUUAGUGUUGAAAUGAAGUCAUGAAAUAAUGAGGCUAAGAUAGAGUAAAGGAAAGGAGAUGGGAGAGUUGGAGUCGACCCAAGCCGUACCAUCCGUACUGACCGUACAGACCGUACAGGUUAAAGUCACCCACACCUCGACCAGAUUGAAGUUACCAUGAUCAAGUAACUUAAGAGGGAAAGGAGAAGUUACUUGGGGUAACUACUGGCUCGUGUGACCGUUUGGAGAGGAUAAGGAACGGCUUAGCCAGGCUGUGAAGAGCUGGAUAAGGCUAAAGGUGCUUUAUAACAAAGGAGAAGCUUAUUGGAUAGUUUAAAUUAAAGCAACUCCUUAUCCCUUACAAUAGUGACCAUUGGCGAACCCCUUAACCUAUCUUGUAGCCUCACUAUAUAUUGUAGACAAUCAUGAUUAAUAAAGCUAGACAGUUCUUGACACCAAAACUCUCUCUUAGACUCAAAGACUCUCAAGCAUGAUUAUACACUAAACUCUUAGCUAAACUCGUCCUAAAUCACCUUUAGACUCUUUCUAAUCUCUUUCUUUCCUUAUAUGAAACUCAGAUUCUUUAAAUCUCAUUUGGUAUCAGAGCCAGGUUCAUCAUAAUCUGGGUUUGAGUACUAGAACACUCAAGAACACGCUAGCCGCUUAGCUUUUAUCCGAGUGAGUCUGAAAUGGAAAGCAACAAGGCAGUGGUUCCGGUUACUCUCAAGGGGGGUAACUAUCUUUUGUGGUCUCGUUUGGUGAAGACUGCAGUGGGGAGUAAGGGUUUAUGGGGACACAUCACGCAGAGUGGAGCCCCAAAGCUCGUUAUUUAUGAAGGAGACAAGGAGGUUGUCGAGUGUGAUGAAGAGAAGUGGGAGCAGGAUUAUCAGCUGGUGAUGUCCAUACUCCAACGGUCUCUUGAAGUGUCUAUCCUGGAGGCUUACAGCUACUGUGAGACAGCAAAGGAUCUUUGGGACACGUUGAAAAAGGUUUAUGGUAACAUCUCGAACUUGAACCGUGUGUUUGAAGUGAAACGUGCUGUCAACAGCUUGACGCAGGAAGACAUGGAGUUUACAAAGCACCUUGGGAAGUUCAGAGCUUUGUGGUUUGAGCUGGAGAUGCUGAGGCCAGGCACAACCAACCUAGAUGAGCUGGCUGAGAGACGCGAGCAAGAUAAGGUGUUUGGGUUGCUGCUCACGCUGAAUCCGAGCUACAACAGCCUCAUCAAACACAUCUUGAGGUUCGGAAAGCUACCUGACCUUGAAGAGGUGUGUGCACAAGUUCAGAAGGAGGAAGGUUCUAUUGGUCUCUUUGGAGGGAAAGGAGAGAUCACACUUGCAAACCAAGCUGAGGUUCCGCAAGCAAACCGUGCAAGCUCUAACCAGUAUGAUGGAAAGAAGUUUACGGGAAACUGUGAUUACUGCAAGAGACAAGGACACAAGAAGAACCAGUGCUGGAUCUUGCAUCCUCACCUGAAGCCGGCUAAGUUCUCAAGAGAGAAAGAUGGGAAAGCCAAUGUCUCGUAUGCUGGAAGUGAGCCAGGAAGUUCAAGUGUGGCUGGGAGCUCAGGCCAAGCUGGAGAGAGCAGUGUACGUGAGCUUGGAGACAGCAAGGCUCUGGUGACUUACACAGCUCAACCAAGCCAUCAGAGCAUUCAUGAGCAUGAGUAUCUGAGGAGAUGAGACCUUGGUUCCCUCAUCAAAAUGCUAAAGGAGAAUGGUAACACACUUGGUACUCUUGGUCACUCUUUUGGCGCAUCAUAUGAACUGUGUAGCAUUGCUAGAGAACCUGAUCAGUCAAGCAUUGCCUAUAAACCUACUAGCAUACUAGGACAGUCUCAUAUUGCACACAACCUGUUUAAACCAUUGAUAGUUGAUUCAGGAGCAUCUCAUCAUAUGAUUAGUGAUACUAGUUUGAUUAGAGACAUUGAACCUACCAAUGGACAUGUAAUGAUUGCAAAUGGGGAUAAAAUCCCAAUUAGAGGAAUUGGCAAGCUGAAAUUGUUUGAUAAAGAAUCUAAAGCCUUCUAUAUGCCUGACUUCACAUCAAAUCUUUUAUCUGUAAAGAAAUGCACUAAUGAUCUUAGUUGCAAUGUUAUAUUCAGUCCUAAUGAUGUGAAGUUUCAGGAUAUUGAGAGCAGCCAAUUGAUUGGAAAAGGAGUUACCAAAGGAGAUUUAUACUUACUUGAAGAACUAGCUCCUGUUUCUGAUUACUUAUGCUCAUUUACUUCUGAGUCUAUGAUGAAUAAAAAUGCAUUGUGGCAUGCUAGACUAGGUCAUCCCCAUGUUAGGGCUUUAAACUUAAUGUUACCAGGUGUGGUAUUUGAAAAUAAGGAUUGUGAAGCUUGCAUUUUAUGCAAGCAUUGUAAAACUGUGUUUCCCAUUUCAUCUACUGUUUAUGACAAGUGCUUUGAUUUGAUUCACUCUGAUGUUUGGACUGCUCCUUGCUUGUCUAGGGAUAGUUUUAGAUACUUUGUCACAUUCAUAGAUGAAAAAUCGAAAUAUACCUGGAUAACACUAAUUCAAACCAAAGAUAGGGUUCUUGAAGCUUUUAAGAAUUUUCAAAACUAUGUGACUAACCAUUACAAUGCCAAGAUUAAAAUUUUGAGAUCAGAUAAUGGUGGAGAGUACACUGGUCAAGCCUUCAAGCAACAUCUACCUCAACAUGGGAUACUACACCAAACGAGUUGUCCUUAUACUCCUCAGCAAAAUGGAGUGGCUGAGAGAAAGAAUAGGCAUCUCAUGGAGGUAGCAAGGUCAAUGAUGUUCCAAGCAAAUGUUCCAAAAAGGUUUUGGAGUGAUGAUGUGGCUACUUCUUGUUAUCUGAUCAACCGGAUUCCAACUAAGAUUCUACAUGAUCAGUCACCGUUUGAAGUCUUGAACAAGUACAAGCCAUCUUUGGAGCAUAUGCGGAUCUUUGGAUGUCUAUGCUUUGUACUUAGGCCAAAGGAGUUGAGAAACAAGCUAGAAGCAACGAGCACAAGAGCUAUGUUUGUUGGCUACUCAACUACUCAAAAGGGUUACAAGUGCUAUGAUCCUACAACAAGAAGAGUUCUAGUCUCUAGAGAUGUAAAGUUCAUUGAAGCAAAGGGGUUCUAUGAAAAAGAAUCAAGAGGAGCUGCUGGAGUUGACAAGAGAGUCAGAUAGAGCGGCCAGCCUUAGAAGUAUUCUAGAGGGGCUUGGAAUACAUACUGCCCAGGAUCCGAAGGAGAGACGCUAUACAACAAACACACAACCAACCGAGGCAUCAAACUUAGAUCAUGGGGGGGAAUCAAUACCUGAACCGGCUGAAGUACAUGUUGAAACUCAAAGUCAAGAAGGCUCAGGGGAUCAUGAUCAAAGUGUGAUACAAGAAGAUGGGGUGGCAACAAGCCAUGAUCAAGAGGAAACUAAUGAAACUACAACGGAACCUGAAUCAGAGCCGGCGGCUGUGCAGCCAUUGAGAAGAAGCACUAGAGUGAGAAAGGAUAGUUCCAACUGGGUAAACACGAGAGUGUACUACAAUGCCCAGGCUGUGAAACAUCCCUGUUAAGCUGUGUGUUCUUUUGCGCAUUAUCCAGAAGAACAUUGUGCCUUUAUGGUAAGCUUAGAUGAGAGCCAUGUACCAAGGUCAUAUGAGGAAGCUAUGAAGGACAACGAAUGGAAGGAAUCAGUGGGAGCUGAAUCUGAUUCAAUGAUAAAGAAUGACACUUGGUAUGAGAGUGAGCUACCUAAAGGGAAAAGAGCAGUGUCUAGUAGAUGAAUUUUCACUAUCAAGUAUCUAGCAAAUGGACAGAUUGAUAGGAAGAAGACUCGGUUGGUUGCAAGAGGGUUUACUCAACCCUAUGGAGAGGAUUAUAUAGAUACAUUUGCACCUGUGGCUAAGCUACAUACCAUCAGGAUUGUUCUAUCUCUGGCUGUAAAUCUUGAGUGGGGCUUGUGGCAAAUGGAUGUGAAGAAUGCAUUUUUACAAGGAGAACUAGAAGAUGAAGUAUAUAUGCUGCCUCCCCCUGGUCUAGAGCACUUGGUGAAGAAAGGGAAUGUACUCAGAUUAAAGAAAGCUAUCUAUGGUCUGAAACAAUCACCAAGGGCAUGGUAUAAUAAGCUGAGCACAACUCUGAAUGGAAGAGGCUUUAGGAAGUCAGAGCUUGACCAUACUCUCUUUACACUCAACACACCCUCAGGUAUUGUUGUUCUACUUGUGUAUGUAGAUGACAUCAUUAUAACAGGUAGUGAUAAAGAAGAGAUACAAGCCACUAAAGACUUUCUUAAAUCUGUGUUUGAGAUUAAAGAUUUGGAAGAGAUGAAAUACUUUCUUGGAAUUGAGAUAUGUAGAUCCAAGGAAGAUUUGUUUCUAUCCCAAAGAAAGUAUGCACUUGAUUUGUUGAAAGAUGCAGGUAAACUUGAUGGAAAGACAGCCAAGACUCCCUUGGAAGAUGGAUACAAGGUUCCACAUAAGGGGGAGAUUGAAGACAGUCCACCAUUCAAGGAUGCAAAGCUUUAUAGAAAGCUAGUGGGUAAGCUUAUAUACUUAACCAUCACACGUCCAGAUAUUUGUUUUGCUGUGAACCAGGUAAGCCAGCAUAUGCAAGUUCCAAAGGAACAUCAUUGGGGAAUGGUGAACCGGAUCUUGAUGUAUCUCAAUGGCUCAGCUGAUCACGGAGUGUGGAUGGGGUGCAAUGGGAGUACUGAAGUUGUUGGCUACUGUGAUGCUGAUUGGGCUGGAGAUAGAGCAGACAGAAGGUCCACAACCGGCUACUGCACAUUCAUUGGAGGGAACUUAGUAACCUGGAAGAGUAAGAAGCAGAAGGUGGUCUCUUGCUCUAGUGCUGAAGCUGAAUACAGAGCAAUGCUGAAGCUGACUAAUGAGCUUGUAUGGAUCGAAGGGAUACUAAAGCACUUGGAGAUCAUUCAAGCCACGCCUAUGACCAUGCAUUGCGACAAUCAGGCUGCUAUACACAUUGCCACCAACUCAGUCUUCCAUGAGAGAACCAAGCACAUUGAAGUUGAUUGUCAUAAGGUGAGGCAAAUGAUACUUCUUGGAGUCAUUUUGCCAUGCUAUACGAAGAGUGAGGAUCAACUAGCAGAUGUAUUCACAAAGGCAGCAAGACAGAAGACAAUUGAGUCCAUCCAUAGCCGGCUAGGACUCAUUGAUCUCACCAGAAGAAGCUGAUCUCCUAAGUCAUGAGGUCUUUACUCUUUUUCCCUUAUCAAGGUUUUGUCCCAAUGGGUUUUCCUUGGUGAGGUUUUUAAUGAGGAAGAUCUCAUGACUGUCCAAGCUUAGACUUUCACAAAACUAAGCUUGAGGGGGAGUGUUGAGAAGAAGGCAUUUGUGUUGAAAUGAAGUCAUGAGAUAAUGAGGCUAAGAUAGAGUAAAGGAAAGGAGAUGGGAGAGUUGGAGUCGACCCAAGCCGUACCAUCCGUACUGACCGUACAGACCGUACAGGUUAAAGUCAUCCACACCUCGACCAGAUUGAAGUUACCAUGAUCAAGUAACUUAAGAGUGAAAGGAGAAGUUACUUGGGGUAACUACUGGCUCGUGUGACCGUUUGGAGAGGAUAAGGAAGGGCUUAGCCAGGCUGUCAAGAGCUGGAUAAGGCUAAAGGUGCUUUAUCACAAAGGAGAAGCUUAUUGGAUAGUUUAAAUUAAAGCAACUCCUUAUCCCUUACAAUAGUGACCAUUUGCGAAACCCUUAACCUAUCUUGUAGCCUCACUAUACAUUGUAGACACUCAUGAUUAAUAAAGCUAGACAGUUCUUGACACCAAAACACUCUCUUAGACUCAAAGACUCUCAAUCAUGAUUAUACACUAAACUCUUAGCUAAACUCGUCCUAAAUCACCUCUAGACUCAUUCUAAUCUCUUUUUUUCCUUAUAUCAAACUCAGAUUCUCUAAAUCUCAUUCUUACAUCCCGGUUCAUGCUGGUUUGAUUAGAAUGACGAAGAAGUUGUCAUAUUCCCAAACAGGAAAACUGGGAUCACCUGAUUUGAAAGUGGGAUAGUUUCUUCAUCCUAACACCUAUGAGAUUUAUUCAAACUUCCUGGUGAUUCUCCACUACUUUAUGUAACCAUGUCAAGCUUCUUGCAUCCCGGUUCAUGCUGGUUUGAUUAGAAUGACGAAGAAGUUGUCAUAUUCCCAAACAGAAAAAUUGGGAGCACAUGAUUUGAAAGUGGGAUAGCUUCUUCAUCCUAACUCCUAUCAGAUUUAUUCAACUUCCUGGUGAUUCUCCACUAAUUUAUGUAUCCAUAUCAAGCUUCUUUCAUCGCGGUUCAUCCUGGUUUGAUAAGAAUGACAAAGUAGUUGUCCUAUUCUCAAACAGGAAAACUGGGAUCACCUGAUUUCAAAGUGGGAUAGCUUCUUCAUCCUAACUCCUAUGAGAUUUAUUCAACUUCCUGGUGAUUCUACACUAAUUUAUGUAUCCAAAUCAAGCUUCUUACAUCGUGGUUCAUCAUGUUUUGAUAAGAAUGACGAAGAAGUUGUCAUAUUCCCAAACAGGAAAACUUGGAUCACCUGAUUUUAAAGUGGGAUAGCUUCUUCAUCCUAACUCCUAUGAGAUUUAUUCAAACUUCCUGGUGAUUCUCCACUACUUUAUGCAGCAAAAUCAAGCUUCUUACAUCGCGGUUCAUCCUGGUUUGAUAAGAAUGACAAUGAAGUUGUCAUAUUCUCAAACAGGAAAACUGGGAUCACUUGACUUUAAAGUGGGAUAGUUUCUCCAUCCUAAUUCCUAUGAUAUUUAUUCAACUUCCUGGUGAUUCUUCACUACUUUAUGCAUCCAAAUCAAUCUUUUUACAUCGCGGUUCAUCCUGGUUUGAUAAGAAUGACAAUGAAGUUAUCAUAUUCUCAAACAGGAAAACUGGUAUCACCUGAUUUCAAAGUGGGAUAGCUUCUUCAUCCUAACUCCUAUGAGAUUUAUUCAACUUCCUAGUGAUUCUCCACUACUUUAUGUAUCCAAACCAAGCUUCUUACAUCGCGGUUCAUCCUGGUUUGAUAAGAAUGACGAAGAAGUUGCCAUAUUCCCAAUCAGGAAAACUGGGAUCACUUGAUUAGAAAGUGGGAUACCUUCUUCAUCCUAACUCCUAUAAGA
rnacentral:lncRNA from 1 species